rnacentral:rRNA from 1 species
AACGAACGCUGGCGGCGUGGAUAAGACAUGCAAGUCGAACGGGACAGACCGAGUAGCAAUAUUUGGAAUGUUCAGUGGCGAACGGGUGCGUAACACGUGGAUAACAUUCCGGAAAGCGGGGAAUAGCCCAGGGAAACUUGGAUUAAUACCGCAUGUGGCCGCAAGGCUAAAGACGGGGACCGCAAGGCCUGUCACUUUCCGAUUGGUCCGCGGCCUAUCAGCUAGUUGGCGGGGUAAUGGCCCACCAAGGCUACGACGGGUAGCUGGUCUUAGAGAACGACCAGCGUCACUGUAACAGAGACACGGUCCAGACACCUACGGGUGGCAGCAGUCGAGAAGCUUUCACAAUGGGGGCAACCCUGAUGGAGCGAAGCCGCGUGGAGGAUAAGGUCGUCGGAUUGUAAACUCCUUUCAUGCGAGAACAAGGUACUCAGGCUAAUAACCUGAUUGUUUGAUGGUACCGCAAGAGGAAGAGACGGCUAACUCUGUGCCAGCAGCCGCCGCCGUAA